rnacentral:rRNA from 1 species
UACGUAGGGGUGCAAGCGUUAAUCGGAAUUACUGGGGCGUAAAGCGUGCGCAGGCGGUUAUGUAAGACAGAUGUGAAAUGCCCGGGCUUAACCUGGGAACUGCAUUUGUGACUGCAUGGCUAGAGUUUGGCAGAGGGGGGUAGAAUUCCACGUGUAGCAGUGAAAUGCGUAGAUAUGUGGAGGAACACCGAUGGCGAAGGCGCGAGCCCCUGGGAUCAAG